rnacentral:rRNA from 1 species
AAUGAACGUUGGCGGCGUGGAUUAGGCAUGCAAGUCGAGCGAGAACUAGUAGCAAUACUGGGGAAAGCGGCGAAAGGGAGAGUAAUACGUAGGUACCUACCCUCGGGUCUGGGAUAGCUGCGGGAAACUGCAAUUAAUACCGGAUAACGUCUCCGGACCAAAGGUGUGAUUCCGCCUGUGGAUGGGCCUGCGUCCGAUUAGCUAGUUGGUGAGGUAAUGGCACCCCAAGGCAAAGAUGGGUACGGGGUGUGAGAGCAUGCCCCCGCUCACUGGGAGUGAGACACUGCCCAGACACCUACGGGUGGCUGCAGUCGGGGAUCUUCCGCAAUGGUCGCAAGCCUGACGGAGCGACGCGGCGUGCGGGAUGAAGGCUUUCGGGUUGUAAACCGCUGUCAGUGGGGAGCAAAUGCAUCAGGGUUUUCUCUGGUGUGUGAGCGAUCCGCAGAGGAAGCACAGGCUAAUUCCGUGCCAGCAGCCGCCGUAAUAC